AAGAUGCUUAGGUUCUGUGGACAUAUCUUCCAAAAAUAGCUUUCAUUGAAUCACUACGCCUAAAGGAGCAGCAGGGUGGGCAGACUCCCGACUAGAAGGCUCAGCCACUGUCUUCUAUUGGAUGGCAUGGGAAUGGCAGUCCAUACAUCCCAGAACACUUCCUUGAAGUAGUUGCUUAAAUGACCACGUAGUCGUCUGCAGUUGUCCUAUUGUGACCACGAUGUUCAAGAGUUUAGCAUUCCCUCAUCAAGUCCAUCCAUGAGUCCUGCACCUCUGGGAUGAAGCCUAUGCAAUCCCCAUUAAAAUCCCAACAAAA